rnacentral:tRNA from 1 species
GCCCGGGUAGCCGAGCGGGUCGCGCGGCGUCGGCUGGCCGGUGACGGCGACGUGCACCCAGUCGCCCCGCCGUUCGAGGAUCCGCACGGGCG